UUUUCAGCUGAAGCUAAAAAUUAUGUUUAGUAAACACAUAAAAAUGGAUUCUUAGAGAAUCUGAAAGCUGUUUUUCAUCUGAAAUCAGAAGCAGCUCACUUGCUGUUUCUGAUUUCAGAUUGCGUGGGAAUCUGAAGCAUUUCAUUAAUGAAAUUUUUGUUAUUCCCAAAAUAACCCUCUUCGUGCGCACAUCUCCUCAGCCACUCCCUGAAACUCUCAGCCUCUCAACCUCCUCUCGCAACCUCCUCUCGUGCUCUCUCGCCUCAGCCUCCCUCAGCCUCAGCCUUCGCUCUCUCAGCCAAAGCUCUCUCCCUCCGUUUAUCUUUCUUCUCUCUCUCGGACUCCCUCUCUCCGUUUAUCUCCUGCGAUUGUCGGCGGCGGAGUCCCCAAGUCCGGCGGAGCCAUUUCCAAGGGCUAUAACUUCGCUUCUCACUGGGAACAGAAUGCUCCUUAGACAGAGCAACAGCAAGCCGCCAUUGUGACUCUCUCUCAUGCCGUCGCCGAUCGGCCGUUUCCUCUCAAUUUGGCCAAAGACCGUGCCUCCGGGCAGGAGAAUGGCUUGUCCGUUUCCACGAAGGAGAACGCCUCGGGCUUCGAACACUCUGGAGCUGCAGAAGCCGUUCUCGUCAAUACAAAUCAGACAGAGGAGAAGUAUCGGCAGUAUGCGAAUACAUUGACUGGGCGGAUAGAGACAUGUGAUGGCAUACUUCGCCAGGUGGAUGACACCUUAGACUUAUUCAAUGAAUUACAGCUGCAACAUCAGGCAGUAGCAACAAAGACAAAAACUCUUCAUGAUGCAUGUGACCGGCUGGUAAUAGAGAAGCAAAGACUAAUAGAAUUUGCGGAAGCACUUCGCAGUAAGCUCAACUAUUUUGAUGAAUUGGAGAAUGUAAGAUAUCUACCAACUUUUAUUCUCCAAAUAUGAAUGUUGUAAAUCAGAACUUUCUCCCUCUGCUCAAACGACUUGAUGACUGCAUAUCGUAUGUUGAAAACAAUCCACAGUAUGCGGAAUCCGGUGUUUACUUGCAGGUCUACAUAUUUAUAUGAUACAUUGCGGCCAAAACUUAUUCACGAAACAAACAUCGAAUAUGGUGGUCUCGUGUCUGUGAAUGGAACGGAAUGGCAUAAUUUUUUAAGAAAAGGCGAUGGGCCAAUUGAUAUUUUUUAGAAGGCAAAGUUCUAUGCAUUGCUAUGGGCUGCUUCAGGUUCCCGUUUACUUUGGCCAUUUUGAAUUAGAAAGAUGUAAUAGGGAAUUGAUUUGAGAUAUCGUUUAUGUGUUUAUCUUGCUCUUUUUGUAUGUUAGUCAGUUUUUCACACCUGGUCAUUUUUGUUUCUUUUUGGUUUGAGGAUUCCUUGUCCUCUGCUCUUGUUAUUGAAUUUUAUCAAUAAAAUUUUUAUUAUCAAAAAAA